CGAACGCUGGCGGCAGGCUUAACACAUGCAAGUNCGAGCGGGCGUAGCAAUACGUCAGCGGCAGACGGGUGAGUAACGCGUGGGAACGUACCUUUUGGUUCGGAACAACACAGGGAAACUUGUGCUAAUACCGGAUAAGCCCUUACGGGGAAAGAUUUAUCGCCAAAAGAUCGGCCCGCGUCUGAUUAGCUAGUUGGUGAGGUAACGGCUCACCAAGGCGACGAUCAGUAGCUGGUCUGAGAGGAUGAUCAGCCACAUUGGGACUGAGACACGGCCCAAACUCCUACGGGAGGCAGCAGUGGGGAAUAUUGGACAAUGGGCGCAAGCCUGAUCCAGCCAUGCCGCGUGAGUGAUGAAGGCCCUAGGGUUGUAAAGCUCUUUUGUGCGGGAAGAUAAUGACGGUACCGCAAGAAUAAGCCCCGGCUAACUUCGUGCCAGCAGCCGCGGUAAUACGAAGGGGGCUAGCGUUGCUCGGAAUCACUGGGCGUAAAGGGUGCGUAGGCGGGUCUUUAAGUCAGGGGUGAAAUCCUGGUGCUCAACUCCAGAACUGCCCUUGAUACUGAGGAUCUUGAGUUCGGGAGAGGUGAGUG
rnacentral:rRNA from 1 species